CCUGCCUCUAGAGACAUUGCAGGAGUGGCUACUGUGUCACAGGUGCAUCAGUAGCUUGCAGAGAGGAGAGAGGCUCCAACUAGAAUCAGUGUUCUGACCUGUGAACAUCUGAAUGAUUAGCACCCUAACACU